UACGGAGGGGGCGAGCGUUGUCCGAAGUUACUGGGCGUAAAGCGCGCGUAGGCGGGUGGGUAAGUCCGCUGUGAAAGCCCGGAGCUUAACUCCGGAGGGUCGGUGGAUACUGCCCAUCUUGAAGGUGCUAGGGGGAGAUGGAAUUACCGGUGUAGCGGUGAAAUGCGUAGAGAUCGGUAGGAACACCAGUGGCGAAGGCGGUCUCCUGGAGCAUACUUGACGCUGAGGCGCGAAGGCUGGGGGAGCGAACGGG
rnacentral:rRNA from 1 species